GUGAGGAACCUGCCUUGGAGAGGGGAAUAACACUCCGAAAGGAGUGCUAAUACCGCAUGAUGCAGUUGAGUCGCAUGGCUCUGACUGCCAAAGAUUUAUCGCUCUGAGAUGGCCUCGCGUCUGAUUAGCUAGUAGGCGGGGUAACGGCCCACCUAGGCGACGAUCAGUAGCCGGACUGAGAGGUUGACCGGCCACAUUGGGACUGAGACACGGCCCAGACUCCUACGGGAGGCAGCAUG
rnacentral:rRNA from 1 species